CAAGGGUCUGGUGCUAGGAAGCUGGCAGGGUCUUGUUUCUGAUGGCAGGGUCUUGUUUCUAGGGUGCUGGGAUUAUGAUGUGAACAGCUCAGUGCUAUAGUCAAGUGUUACAGCUCAGUGUCACAGCCAAGUGCCAUAGCUCUGAGGCACAACUGAGUGUUACAGUUCAGUGUUAUUGCCCUUGGUCUUGGCUAUCGCGAUUUGAAGACUCAAGAAUCCGAUUGUCACUCAAAAAGGUGAAGAAAAACCUUUACUACACCGGCAGGCUCAGAGGAGUUUGUACUCUGAAGUCUGAGUGCCGUACCAGAAACGUGAGCCUUCUUAUACAGGGAUCUACAGGUUAGGAGACUGGAGGUGACAGGCUGAGAGAGGCUGAAGAUGCCACAUUGCCAGCUCUGCAGAUGGAGGAUGGGGCCCAAGCCGAGAGCUGCAGGCGCCUCUAGGAGCCAGGAUGGGGGCCCGGGUUCUCCCUAGAGCCUCAGGAGGAGCAGCCCUGCCGCCUGCGCCUGGACUCAGCCCAGGG
rnacentral:lncRNA from 1 species